rnacentral:rRNA from 5 species
CAAUAGCGUAUAUUAAAGUUGUUGUGGUUAAAAAGCUCGUAGUUGGAUCUCGGCGGUCUGAGGGCGGUUCACUUGCUAGUGCUACUGCCCUAUAGACCGUAGUUUUGCCAGAGGUCUCAGGGUGCUCUUAAUCGAGUGUCUUGUGAUGCUGGCAGGUUUACUUUGAAAAAAUUAGAGUGCUCAAAGCAGGCUUUUACGCCUGAAUAUUCGUGCAUGGAAUAAUAGAAUAGGAAGUCGUUUCUAUUUUGUUGGUUUUCGGAAAUCGACUUAAUGAUUAAUAGGGACAGUCGGGGGCAUUUGUAUUCAAACGACAGAGGUGAAAUUCUUGGACCGUUUGAAGACAAACUACUGCGAAAGCAUUUGCCAAGAAUGUUUUCAUUAAUCAAGAACGAAAGUUAGAGGUU